rnacentral:rRNA from 1 species
UACGUAGGGGGCAAGCGUUGUCCGGAUUUACUGGGCGUAAAGAGCGUGUAGGCGGCCACACAGGUCCGUUGUGAAAACUGGAGGCUCAACCUCCAGACGUCGACGGAAACCGUGUGGCUAGAGUCCGGAAGAGGAGAGUGGAAUUCCUGGUGUAGCGGUGAAAUGCGCAGAUAUCAGGAAGAACACCAAUGGCGAAGGCAGCUCUCUGGGACGGUACUGACGCUGAGACGCGAAAGCGUGGGGAGCGAACAGG